rnacentral:rRNA from 1 species
UACGUAGGGUGCGAGCGUUGUCCGGAAUUAUUGGGCGUAAAGGGCUCGUAGGCGGUCUGUUGCGUCGGGAGUGAAAACUCAGGGCUUAACCCUGAGCCUGCUUCCGAUACGGGCAGACUAGAGGUAUGCAGGGGAGAACGGAAUUCCUGGUGUAGCGGUGAAAUGCGUAGAUAUCGGGAGGAACACCUGAGGCGAAGGCGGGCUACUGGGCUGAUACUGACGCUGAGGCGCGAAGGCGUGGGGAGCGAACGGG